rnacentral:rRNA from 1 species
UACGUAGGGUGCGAGCGUUGUCCGGAAUUAUUGGGCGUAAAGAGCUCGUAGGCGGUCUGUCGCGUCGAUCGUGAAAACCCAGGGCUCAACCCUGGGCCUGCAUUCGAUACGGGCAGACUAGAGUACGGCAGGGGAGACUGGAAUUCCUGGUGUAGCGGUGAAAUGCGCAGAUAUCAGGAGGAACACCGGUGGCGAAGGCGGUUCUCUGGGCCUGUACUGACGCUGAGGAGCAAAAGCGUGGGGAGCGAACAGG